GUGCUUGCUUCGGCAGCACAUGUACUAAAAUUGGAACGAUACAGAUUAGCAUGGCCCCUGCGCAAGGAUGACACGCAAAUUCGUGAAGCAUUCCAUAUUUUU
rnacentral:snRNA from 1 species